rnacentral:rRNA from 1 species
CAGUAGCCACGGUAAUACGGAGGAUCCAAGCGUUAUCCGGAAUCAUUGGGUUUAAAGGGUCCGUAGGCGGUCUUGUAAGUCAGUGGUGAAAGCCCAUCGCUCAACGGUGGAACGGCCAUUGAUACUGCAGGACUUGAAUUAUUGGGAAGUAACUAGAAUAUGUAGUGUAGCGGUGAAAUGCUUAGAGAUUACAUGGAAUACCAAUUGCGAAGGCAGGUUACUACCAAUUGAUUGACGCUGAUGGACGAAAGCGUGGGUAGCGAACAGGAUUAGAUACCCGCGUAGUUCCUGUCUCUUAUAC